CUGAAUCCACCGCAACCCCUUCAAAAUCAGUCCCAAAAUCCAAUCAACCUACAAAUCCAGCACCCCACAUUCUCGGCCGUCGAUUUAUCUAAUUUCCUCAUCGGAGAGGCCUCCACGCCUUGGUCGUGGCCAUGGUGAGUUGAGGUGUUCGCCGCCCCUGCUGCCACUGGCGACAUCGACCCUCGGCGCCACCGGUAGCUACCUCUCCGUGAGCCGCAGUAACCCUUCAACAUCUGCUCCCUGGUGCUGCCAGUCUCAACGCUCCCUCCGUUCCAGGUGAUGCUAAGUCAACGCCGCCCGCCGGGGCCAGGGAGGCUGCUCGGGCAUGGCCGGGCGGGGUGGCCGUGGCGGGCGGCGGGGCCGAGGCCGGGGCAGCACGGGUGGCUGGGGUGGCGGGUUCAAGGGCCCUCCUGCGCGUGCUGUCCCUCGCAGUCGACCGCCUCCGCGCGUCGUUCAGCUUCUCGCUGCCGACCACGCGCCGCUCUUCGAAUAUGCGGCCGCGGAGCCAUCCCCCUAGCUGCCGGCGAGGGGGGCCGCGGCGGCGGCGGGGAAUGACGGCCACGACGAUGAGCUCAAGCGCGAGGAGGUGGUGUGCAUCGAGAGGACCCGGUUGGAGGCGGCCAUGGAGCUGGCGCCCAGCAGCCGGCGUCCGCGGACGAGGAGGACGCGGAGGGCGGUGGCGGCCGAGGAGUCGACGCGCGCGCACGACGUCGUCGUCACCCCUGCUCGCGCCCACCUCGCGGCGGCGGUGGUGAGGGAGGCCGGCGUCGGUGCUGGUGCUGGGCUCGGCGAGGUGUUGGCGGUGGAGGUGGACGCGCGCGCGGACGACUUCAUCUGGCGGUUCCGGGAGCAGCUCCGGCUACAGCGCCUCGACUCCAUCCUCCGCUACCGGGACACGCUCACGUACCGCGGUUAAUAAAUCAAUUGUUAGACCCACCCGUCAAUGACUAAAGUUGGAUCAAAUAAAAAAAAGUGGGCAGCAGGAUCCACACUUUAUAAAUAGUACUAGUAUAGAUAGAUUUUGUAGAGGUGAUGCUCGUUGGGUUUCCGCCCCUACCGGUCAAUCAUUAUCUUCAAAAUCAAAAGUAGACCGGUAGUAUAGAUAGAUUUUGUAGAGGUGAUGCUCGUUGGGUUUCCGCCCCUACCGGUCAAUCAUUAUCUUCAAAAUCAAAAGUAGACCGGCAGGUUAAAGUCCCGUUUGGUUUGAGUUGUCUAUGCGUAAGCAACUAAAAAUAAGUAACUUAUUUGCUUAUGAAACCAAUCACCCUUGCUUAUUGGGUUACUUAUGGGGCUGCUUAUUUUUAGCCUUGUGUUGCUUAUGAG
rnacentral:lncRNA from 1 species